AUCAUGAUGAUUGGAUGAGUGAUAAGAAAAUGAUAAGCUUCCAAAGGUAAGCGCGCAGGUCGUCUUUCUGCAGUUCAUACCAGUUUCCUCAGUUAUCACAGUGAAGUGAUGUUUAUAUGUGAGGUUCGUCGCCAUUUUCGGCACAAAAGCACAGUUUUCAAAAAGGAAUCCUAAAAUUGAAGGUUUGAGAGCCUCCAACCAGACAUCAUAAGUUCAAAACUCCUAAUUAAUUCAAUGAAAUAACAAAAACAGUAAUAAAAUCACAAAAGCUGCGACUUUUACCUACUUUUUUUGGCAUACCAUUUUCUGAAUCUAUAAAAUGUGAUAAUUACCCGCAAGAAUAUUCACCUCCUCUCGUAGCCAGUGAAAUUUUUCUUUCAAUGUAAUUUUUUGUGAGUUAUUUUGAUUGCUAAAUGUGUUCAUGAUGUUAAUUAUUCAUCAAAUUUAUAUGCGAUUUAGUUGUUGUACAUUUUAAUAUACGUGAAUUUUGAAUUUGAAUAUAUUUCUUUAAUUUCGGACGAAAACUGACUCUUGCUCUUCUUGAUUAUUCGUAGGUACUU